rnacentral:rRNA from 1 species
GAGCGCCGGCCCAUGUUCCUUGGAACAGGACGUCGCAGAGGGUGAGAAUCCCGUGCCAGGCCGGCAGCCUCCCCUCGAGUGAAGGGCCUUCGACGAGUCGAGUUGUUUGGGAAUGCAGCUCCAAGUGGGUGGUAUAUUUCAUCUAAAGCUAAAUACCGGCGGGAGACCGAUAGCGCACAAGUAGAGUGAUCGAAAGAUGAAAAGCACUUUGAAAAUAGAGUCAAAAAGUACGUGAAAUUGUUGAAAGGGAAGCGCUUGAGACCAGACUCAGACCCGAGCAAACACCGCGCCCCUCGGGGCCGUGCAAUUGCCAGGGGCUGGGCCAGCAUCAGUUGGCGUGGCGGGACAAAGGCGCGGGCAAUGUGGCUCCCCUCGGGGAGUGUUAUUAGGCCCACGCUCAAUGCCGCCGACGUCGACUGAGGACCGCGCCUCGGCUAGGAUGCUGGCUUAAUGGCCUUCAGCGACCCGUCUUGAAACACGGA